rfam:Erythranthe guttata cultivar DTN x IM62 scaffold_285_contig_11, whole genome shotgun sequence.
AUCUUUGCGCUUGGGGCAAUGACGCAGCUAAUGAGGUACUAACCGAGGCGCGUCUAUUGCUGGUUGAAAACUAUUUCCAAACCCCCUCUUGGGCUUUGGUUUUGCACCUAAGCCCUUGAGAAUUUCUGGAAGGGCUCCCUUUUAUUAGGGUUAAGCC